rnacentral:lncRNA from 1 species
UAAGUUCUGUUUACCUUCCGAACAGACUUCCCUCUCCCUCCGGGAGCCAGAAACCGUUACCCACAAUCACACACCGAGCUUUGGAGGCCAAGACUUGCACUCCAUUGGUCCCAGCUUUCCCAGUAACUGUUGUCAUAAGCACGUGACCAUAUACGUGUGCUACCACGCCUGGUUUGUAAUGUUUAGAUUUAUUUUACGUGUACGAGUGUUUUGCCUGUAUGCAUGUACAUAUACCACAUGCAUGCCUGCUGUCCAAAGAAGCCGGAAGAGGGUGUGGGAGCUCCGGAACUGGAGAUGUAGAUGAUCUUGAGCCAUUGUGUGGGUGUUGGGAACCAACCCCGUAUCCUCUACAGAAGCAGCAAGCGCUCUUAACGCCAGCCACCUCUCCAGCCCCAGGGCAUUUUGGUGAAGAACCAGAUAUGGUUUUUGAUGUGGUUGUAAGAGUCACAGCCGUGUGUGGGGGGGGGGGGCGGGUUUCCAAUUUGUGAGAGUCCCUCCCUCUCUCUGUGGAAGAGAGGACAAAGCUUGCUCCACGCAUACUGGGCGCCUAGAGCCCCGCCCACUUUUGCUUUAGAACCGAACCUGAGUUUAUGCAUCCGG